CGGGCAAGUAAAGUGGCGUACGGGUGAGUAACACGUAGAUAAUCUACCUUUAAGUUUGGAAUAACCUGCCGAAAGGCGGGCUAAUACUGGAUAAUUCGAGAAUAACGUAAGGUUUUUUUCGUGAAAGGGAGCUCGCAAGGGCCCUCGCUUAAAGAUGAGUCUGCGUCUCAUUAGCUAGUUGGUGAGGUAAUGGCUCACCAAGGCUUUGAUGAGUAGCUGGUCUUAGAGGAUGAUCAGCCACACUGGGACUGAAACACGGCCCAGACUCCUACGGGAGGCAGCAGUGGGGAAUAUUGCGCAAUGGACGAAAGUCUGACGCAGCAACGCCGCGUGAGUGAAGAAGGCCUUCGGGUUGUAAAGCUCUGUCUAGUGGGACGAAAAAGCUAUCAGUUAACAGCCGAUAGAAUUGACGGUACCACUGAAGGAAGCACCGGCUAACUCCGUGCCAGCAGCCGCGGUAAUACGGAGGGUGCAAGCGUUGCUCGGAAUUAUUGGGCGUAAAGGGUAGGUAGGUGGUCUCAUUUGUCUGGGGUGAAAUCCCUGAGCUCAACUCAGGAACUGCCUUAGAAACGGUGAGACUAGAGUCCUGGAGAGGGUCGUGGAAUUUCCGGUGUAGCGGUGAAAUGCGUAGAGAUCGGGAGGAACAUCAGUGGCGAAGGCGGCGACCUGGACAGUUACUGACACUCAACUACGAAAGCAUGGGGAGCAAACAGGAUUAGAUACCCUGGUAGUCCAUGCUGUAAACGAUGGAUACUAGGUUUCGCGGGAUUUGACCCCUGCGGAGCCGGAGCUAACGCGUUAAGUAUCCCGCCUGGGGAGUACGGUCGCAAGACUAAAACUCAAAGGAAUUGACGGGGGCCCGCACAAGCGGUGGAUUAUGUGGUUUAAUUCGAAGCAACGCGAAGAACCUUACCUGGGCUUGACAUCCUUGGACCGCUGUAGAGAUACAGUUUUUGUAGCAAUACAACCAAGAGACAGGUGCUGCAUGGCUGUCGUCAGCUCGUGUGGUGACAUGUUGGGUUAAGUCUCGCAACGAGCGCAACCCCUGUCUUUAGUUGCCAGCAUUAAGUUGGGCACUCUAAAGAGACUGCCGUGGUUAACACGGAGGAAGGUGGGGAUGACGUCAAGUCCUCAUGGCCCUUAUGCCCAGGGCUACACACGUAAUACAAUGGACAGUACAAAGGGAUGCAAAAGGGCAACCUUAAGCAAAUCUCAAAAAGCUGUUCUCAGUUCGGAUUGGAGUCUGCAAUUCGACUCCAAGAAGUUGGAAUCGCUAGUAAUCGCGGAUCAGCACGCCGCGGUGAAUACGUUCCCGGGCCUUGUACACACCGCCCGUCACACCAUGGAAGCCGAUUCAACCAGAAGAUAGUUA
rnacentral:rRNA from 1 species